GCCCUAGUGGCUUAGACCGGCAUAGCGGCUGAUUUGUAAUCAGCAGGUCGGGGGUUCAAAUCCCUCCUGGGGCU
rnacentral:tRNA from 1 species